GCUCUCUAUUCUAAGAGUCCCAAUUCCCAAAUCCCACCUAACUCCCCAACCACGCUAAUGGCGCAAAUGUAGCUACAAGCCUACAACUAUCCUACUAAAUCUCCAUUUUCCAAUUCCCAUCAUCUUCUCAGUUCUCACUUUCAAUGGCGAACUCACCAAAACACAAUUUUCCUCCUCGUAAACUCAUCUUCUCUAAAAAAGCCUCCAUUGUUAUCCUCCUUUUCUUCCUCAACUUCUUCUUCUUCUCCUUUACUUACUAUUUGCACCAUUACCCUUCUCUUUCUUUUACCUUCCAAUCCCACGAUCACCAUCACCAUCAUCUUCAUCUCACUCUCCCUCAUCCCAAUUCCUUUUCGAAACUUCCUUUUUCAUCUAAAACAUGGCCUAUUCUUCCCUCUUACCUCCCAUGGUCUCCUCCUUCCUCUACUCUUUACUCUUGUGAAGGUUUUUUCGGAAAUGGAUUCUCAAAAACAUAUACUCUCUACCCUCGUCUUUUUUCCAAUUCUGUCAAAUCCACUAAUUCGUGGUUUCGGUGUCACUACAGUGGUACUCUUCGGAGCUCCAUUUGUGAAGGUGGCCGGGUUUUGAUGGAUCCGAAUAAGAUUCGGAUGUCCAUUGGAGGUGAGAGGAUUGAAGAGGUUAUUGGUCGUUCUGAUGAUGAUGAACUUCCUUCUUUUGAAAAAGGUUCGUUUCGAUUGAGACGAAAAGGGGUUAAGAAAAGACGUGCUUUUUCUAAGGAGUUUCUUGACAAGAUUGUUCAUCAAGGGCAGAUUAUGAAGCAUACUAUGAAAGAUUUGUUUCAGUCUAUGGAAGUUGUUGAUGAUAAUCAGGAUGAUUUUAAUUGCUCUCAGUGGAUUGAGGAGCCGACCUUGCUGCUGACCCGGUUUGAGUACGCUAAUGUUUUUCACUCAUAUACAGAUUGGUAUAGUGCAUAUGUUAGCUCUAAAGUAACUGGUUUGCCAACAAGGCCAAAUGUUGUCUUUGUUGAUGGCCACAGCAAAACGCAAUUGGAAGACACAUGGGAAGCACUCUUUUCAAGCAUUAGAUUUGCUAAAAACUUCACUGAUCCAGUCUGCUUUCGUCACGCUGUCUUUGUACCCUUGGGUUAUGAAACAGCCUGGUUUAAGGGUCUGAGUCAACAUAUAGAUUGUCGAGGGGCAUCUGCGAGAGCCCUGUGGGCAAAUCCUGAUGACCGUAAAACAGCACGACUAUCUGAAUUUGGUGAGAUGAUAAAGGCAGCUUUUGAUUUUCCUGUGGAUACACCCAGAAAACCCAAGUCAUCAGAAUAUAAUGUGCUUUUUGUACGGCGUGAAAAUUAUUUGGCACAUCCACGUCAUGGUGGUAAAGUUGAAUCCAGACUCAGCAACGAACAAGAAGUGUUCGAUUCUUUGAAAAGUUGGGCUUCUAAUUAUUCUCAAUGCAACAUAAACCUCGUAAAUGGCUUAUUUGGUCACAUGCCUAUGAGAGAGCAAAUCCGAGCUAUAGAGGAUGCGUCGGUGAUUAUUGGAGCUCAUGGAGCGGGUCUCACUCAUGUGGUGUCAGCAUUACCAGAAAGUGUGAUUCUUGAAAUUAUUAGCAGCCAGUUUCAGCGCCCUCAUUUCCAAUUGAUCUCCCAGUGGAAAGGUCUAGAAUACCAUGCAAUCAAUCUAUCUGGCUCUUCUGCCAAUCCGGUGAAGGUCAUUGAACGGCUUAAAAAGAUCCUGAGAAGCAUCGGAUGCUGAGGGGCUCCAUCUUUUACCUCAAAUUCUGCUUGGUUAAGAUUUCCAGAAGGGCCUGCCAUCAUUGAUCUGAAUUCCCUCACAGUCAUGCAAAUUCUAGUGUGCAUUUCUUAGAGUUAGGACAGACAUCAAAGGGAAAUAUAGUCGUUGGGUUUGACCGUUUGAAGAAAUUAUCAAAAGAAUAUGGUCAUCAGGUUUGAAGAAAUUUGGUCAUGGUUGCUGAAAAAUCAAAGAAUGUGGCUCCCGGUUAAAUUUUAUUAACAGAGUUUCCUCUAUGGUGUGCUUCAGCGGGAAUUUCUAUGCAAGCCUAGUUUAGGAGUCACUAUGGAGUUGAGAUAGGCUUGUAAGUUCCAAGUAGUCUGGGAUGCUGUCCCUAAACUUAAUAGUGUACAGUAAAAAUCAUCAACAUGGCGAAUGAUCCCCUUGAAAGUUUGUUGUCAAUGGACCUUUCAAGGAAAUGACAUGCUAUAUCAGGUUACCUCUUAUCUUCUUCCUUCUUUAUAAUAAUCCAAUCUAUAUUCCAUUACCUGCUAAUUAUCCCACCUUUAAAAUUUUGUUUAAUAAUCCAACUUUUACUUUUUGUUUGUUGCUAAUGGACCCUUCAAGAAACUAAAUGAAAUUGCUGUUACUUUCCAAGCUUAUGAAGUUGAUCAUUGCAUAAUAGUAAUCGUCUUUACAUACAUAUACCAUCAAAUAGGGGUGGUCAAAAAUCCGACCCGCUGACCCACACCCAACCCGUUAUAUAUUAUCUUUAUGAAGUUGAAAUUUACACGUUAAAAUAUUAUAAAAAAUUAAUAAUAGUCGUAAGUUUUUCAAUUCCCUUCAAAGUAAAAUACCCCUUUUAACCAGUGCUAAAGAGAAUUGAAUAUUUUAAAAAUUGUGGAUUUUUAAAUAAUAAUUGAAGAGAAAAUGUGUUAAAAAAAUUAAAAGAGACUUAACAUGUAUGGAUGAGAUAUGUUGGAUUAUUAUACACUAGUGGCAAAGAAAAAUUGAGUAUUUAGCUUCUGAAAGAGUCCAUUGGCAACAAAAUACAAACAAAAGUGGAAUUAUUGGCAGGUAAUGAAAAUAGGUUGGAUUAUUAUAAACAAGGAGAAGAUGAGAGUUAACCUGAUAUAGCAGGCCAUUUUCUAAAGGGUCCAUUGACAACAAACUGAAAGUAAAGUUUAAAUUAUUACAAAAUUUUCAAAAGGUAUGAUUAUUGGUAGGUAAUUGAAAAUAGAUUGGAUUAUUCACAACAAAUUUUCCUAGACAAGAUUGAUCUUUGCUUACAAGGUUAAUUAAAUUUCGAUUAAGAUCAAAUUGAUUCAUUUAUAGAACAUGCGUCAAAAUCUAAAAGCCUUUGUAAAUAAUAUAUAUUAGAGUUUUUUAACUAUUAAUAUAAAAUAAUUCUUUAAAUAGUUGUUAUGGUGCAUAAUGCAGAUAACCAAGCAUGUGGGGGGUGGAGGGUGUGGGGGCUGAUGUUACUAGAAAGAUCACAUGAUUCUUGAAUAUAUAAGCAAAGUUUGUAAAUUAGUUUCUUAAUAUUUCUUCUAAGUACUUGCACACCAAAUAACAACAUAAUAUUAUUUUCGAUCAACACAUUUUUCUAACUUGCUUGUCGGAAUGUCUUAUCUACUAUUUGUAGACUAUGUAAAUGUCACAUACUUACGUUCAUGUUCUUCUUUUAAAUAUGUUUUAAAUAAUAUACAUUUUAAUGUUAUAUAUGGUAUGUCGUAUUUGAACUCUUUUUAUACGUUAAUUGUGGCUUCUACAAGCAUCAUAUAUUGGAUAUGACGAUAAUAUUAACUCCAAUCAUGUAACGUAUAUAUUUAGCGCAUUUGUUUUAACUUUUUUU